rnacentral:sRNA from 16 species
GGAAGAAUGUAAACAAUGAUCGAUCCGAGGGCAGCACCCGUCAAUCCCACCACAAAGCUAACAUCCUGGA